UGAUAUGUCACUGCAGGACCUGCAAGAUUUAUUGAAGUUCUAGAGUACUAAUUCAUACAAAAUUUUGUACUUCUUCAUGAAAGUAUUUCAAUUUUUACCUCGUACAACUGUUGCCACAAACUUGGUGGUGCGUUAACGUAUACACGAGAUAUUCCAUCCCACCAUACGUCUAUGCCAUUCGGCAGCUCGGCGAUCAGAAAAAUGCUGCUGGCUACUCGAAGUUUUAUUCCUCCCAAUGUGACAGUUUUAGUGCACGAUGGAGCCUCAGAUGACAAUGAUGACGUGUAACCCAUAUUCUAUUAAAUUACAAAUAUUACAUAUUACGAAUAUUGAUUGUACUAUCAAAAGAAGCAUGAAUAAAAUGAUGGUGCAAUAUUACAUUUUGAAAAUGAAGGCCAUAUAUAUGAUCGCAAACAUAUGAAAGACUAUGUACUGAAAAUAUAUGUAAGAAGCUUGGAAAAUGAAAUAAUGAGAGGAAACCAUUUCCAACAAUAAAUAAUUUAUAUUCACCUCA